rnacentral:rRNA from 1 species
AAUGAACGCUGGCGGCGUGCCUAACACAUGCAAGUCGAACGAAGGCUUCGGCCUUAGUGGCGCACGGGUGCGUAACGCGUGGGAAUCUGCCCUCAGGUUCGGAAUAACAGCGAGAAAUUGCUGCUAAUACCGGAUGAUAUCGCGAGAUCAAAGUUUUAUCGCCUGAGGAUGAGCCCGCGUAGGAUUAGCUAGUUGGUGUGGUAAAGGCGCACCAAGGCGACGAUCCUUAGCUGGUCUGAGAGGAUGAUCAGCCACACUGGGACUGAGACACGGCCCAGACUCCUACGGGAGGCGGCAGUGGGGAAUAUUGGACAAUGGGCGAAAGCCUGAUCCAGCGAUGCCGCGUGAGUGAUGAAGGCCUUAGGGUUGUAAAGCUCUUUUACCCGGGAUGAUAAUGACAGUACCGGGAGAAUAAGCUCCGGCUAACUCCGCGCCAGCAGCCGCCGCCG